rnacentral:rRNA from 1 species
AGAACGAACGCUGGCGGCAGGCCUAACACAUGCAAGUCGAACGAGAAGCCACCUUCGGGUGGUGGACAGUGGCAGACGGGUGAGUAACGCGUGGGAACGUGCCUUUCGGUUCGGGACAACCCAGGGAAACUUGGGCUAAUACCGGAUACGCCCUUCGGGGGAAAGAUUCAUUGCCGAAAGAUCGGCCCGCGUCGGAUUAGCUAGUUGGUGGGGUAAAAGCCUACCAAGGCGACGAUCCGUAGCUGGUCUGAGAGGAUGACCAGCCACACUGGGACUGAGACACGGCCCAGACUCCUACGGGAGCAGCAGUGGGGAAUAUUGGACAAUGGGCGCAAGCCUGAUCCAGCCAUGCCGCGU